GUGAGGUUGCCUUUAAAGACAAUUUGGAUAGUUCAGCUGGAUCUGAAUGUGGCUGCCAGAACCUUGUUGGAGAGGAAAUUCAUGAGUUAAUGAUCACUGGGCAUAUUUCUCAUGGAUUAUUUAGAGCACCAGGUGCCUGCUAUGUUCUUACUGGCUGGAAGUGGAGAGAAGAUGAAUCAUUGUUGCAGCUGUGAACAAGAGUGCUCUGGAAGCUAUAAGUGAGUAGCUUUGGAAGCUGGAAAAGUGUUUUGAACCUGAAGCAAGGUAGGGUAGGGGCUCAGAGCUGGCCAAGAGGAGGCCAGGCAUGGAUCCGAUGCAAAGCCUUGAAACUGGCAAUGGGAUUUGCAUAAUAAUUCUCUCCGGUGGACUUGGACAACUCACUUUCUGUGCAAUGACUGCAGCUGAUUCCCCUGUACGCUCCUAAAAAAUCUGUCUAGCUAACGAGUCCAAAAAUCAAACACCUGUGUGUCAGGAUGAACAGCUGCACACUUGCCACUGCUUUUUCUGUCAACCAAAGAUGCCACAUGCCAGUUGCUGUAACUUGGAGUGUUUGGGGAGGGCAAUCCAUUAGAGAGAGAACACAGCAUAAUUAAGAAGCAACGAGCUUUCUGCUUCCUGCUGCCCUAUUUUUCUCCCUUUUUUGCUUUGUUUAAACAUCCCUGUUGACUUUAUUAUGCUGCAUUUUAUGGUUGUAGCAAGGAACAGCAGCACAUUUGGUACACUGAUCACAUUCCCCCUUCCCAGGUUUUUUGGUCAGCAUGGAUAAGUGGAGACACUUUUCACUUGUAGUUAUGGUUUUAUCCUUGUCUCUAUAUGUUAUGGCAGUGAUGUGGUGUGUGUGUGUGUGUGUGUGUGUGUGUGUGUGUAAUAAAUCAUUCGAGAAACAAUAAGUACUAAGAAACGCUUUCCAAACGAUAAAAAUGCUAAACAAUGUAUUUGUAGCAAAAUGUGGACAGUUUUGCUUACUCCAGACAGCAACACUAAGCAAAUAUAGAUGAUGGACAUUACUGAACAGGCAUGUGUGAAAAAGGACAGCCUCCCACUAAUAUGGGUGUCAUUACUAAAGCAGCAGUGCAGAAUGUAUUUGUCUUAAAAUCCCUUUUUAUGUUGCAAUUUUUACUGUCUUCCAAUGCAGUGUCUUCUGCUCCUACUGAAUCUGCAAUACACUUAUUUUCUGAUGAAUAAUUUCCACUCAGAUUCCUAAUUUGCCAAGCGCCCAGCUCCAUGAGCCAUGGUACCUUUUGUGCUCUUAAUUCUCUUGGGGCUACCUAUACUUGUC